UCGAGGAUCUUUAGCAAUGCCCGAAAGGGUGACUAUGCGACGCCGCGUGUGGGAUGAAGGCCUUCGGGUCGUAAACCACUGUCAGGGAGGAAGAAACCUUACGUGUUAACAGCGCGUAAGCUGACAUCACUCCCAAAGGAAGCCACGGCUAACUCUGUGCCAGCAGCCGCGGUAAGACAGAGGUGGCAAGCGUUGUUCGGAUUUAUUGGGUGUAAAGGGUCCGUAGGUGGCCUAACAAGUCUGAUGUGAAAUCCCAUGGCUCAACCGUGGAACUGCAUUGGAAACUGUUGGGCUUGAGUACCGCAGAGGUAAAGGGAAUUCCCGGUGUAAGGGUGAAAUCUGUAGAUAUCGGGAGGAACACCAGUGGCGAAGGCGCUUUACUGGGCGGUUACUGACACUGAGGGACGAAAGCAAGGGGAGCAAACAGGAUUAGAUACCCGCGUAGUCCCUGAGCGGGCUGGCAAGGCGCAU
rnacentral:rRNA from 1 species